AUUGAACGCUGGCGGCAGGCCUAACACAUGCAAGUCGAACGGUAACAGGAAACAGCUUGCUGUUUCGCUGACGAGUGGCGGACGGGUGAGUAAUGUCUGGGAAACUGCCUGAUGGAGGGGGAUAACUACUGGAAACGGUAGCUAAUACCGCAUAACGUCGCAAGACCAAAGAGGGGGACCCUCGGGCCUCUUGCCAUCGGAUGUGCCCAGAUGGGAUUAGCUUGUUGGUGGGGUAACGGCUCACCAAGGCGACGAUCCCUAGCUGGUCUGAGAGGAUGACCAGCCACACUGGAACUGAGACACGGUCCAGACUCCUACGGGAGGCAGCAGUGGGGAAUAUUGCACAAUGGGCGCAAGCCUGAUGCAGCCAUGCCGCGUGUAUGAAGAAGGCCUUCGGGUUGUGAAGUACUUUCAGCGGGGAGGAAGGGAGUAAAGUUAAUACCUUUGCUCAUUGACGUUACCCGCAGAAGAAGCACCGGCUAACUCCGUG
rnacentral:rRNA from 1 species